rnacentral:rRNA from 1 species
UACGUAGGGGGCUAGCGUUGUCCGGAAUCAUUGGGCGUAAAGAGCGCGUAGGCGGUCCGGUAAGUCAGCUGUGAAAGUCAGGGGCUCAACCCUUGAAAGCCGGUUGAUACUGUCGGGCUAGAGUCCGGAAGAGGCGAGUGGAAUUCCCGGUGUAGCGGUGAAAUGCGCAGAUAUCGGGAGGAACACCAAUGGCGAAGGCAGCUCGCUGGGACGGUACUGACGCUGAGGCGCGAAAGCGUGGGGAGCAAACAGG